CUCUGCAGCCAUAUCCUGCAAUAAACUAAGCCCACUAACACAACAAUGAAUAUGUAACCGCAACUCGUCAUUCACCUUCUUCCACUCAGCAACCACAUCGUCUUUCUUGUACCAGCCUUCUAGUUGAUCCAGGUUGAUGACGUUUGAGAUGGUUAAGGUCAAGUUAGCGGUGAAGUCACAGUGUGAAAGAAUAUAUGUGCGUGGUGUUAUAAUCCCUCCGCUAGCUUUAGCCUCCAAUAUCUCCCCUAAGAACUCCACUUUGAGCUUUGAGGAAUCAAAGUUUGCUUGUGGAACUAAAAGCCUUACAGCCUAAUUCACAAUCAUUAACAUGAAGAGUUCAAUUUCAUAUAACAGUGAGAUCGAGUUCAGAAGUGAAUCUAUGAUCAGAUAUUUUCGCAAUUCGCCUCUCUCAGUCCACAAAUAUGGGCGAAAAUUUUCAAAAAAAAAAGAAAAAAGAAGAUCUUUGGCUCACCUCGGAAACUAAAGUAUUGUGGGAGAUGCCACCGUCGCUAAUGGCUGAGCUUCGAGGAACCCUAAUUCUUGUCUUCAGGAGCUUGCCGCAGGAACGGUGAUGGUGGCCGAUGAAUUUUCGAUUGGGACAAAACAGAACUGGAUUGUGGUAAUAAGGAAGGAUGUGAGAGGCCAUGAGAGGAAGGAACGUAACAGCAGGGUUAAUGCAUGAGCUGAUCCUUCUUCAUUGUUCAUCUUCCACCAUUUUUGUCUUCGAGAGAGAUAGAUAUGUGGGAGAGCAGAUGUUAUUAUUCAAAGAUACACAGCCACAAACUGAGUUGCGGAGCUUUUUUCUCCACACAAUCAACAAUUUACAAUUCAUUUGAGAUUUUCUCCAAAUAUUAUUAUCUUUUCUUAAUAGGUUACUAGUAAGACCCGUGCCUUGAGGAUGAUAAAAUAUUUAUUUAAAAACUUAUAUUUUUAUAUUGUAAAAUCUGAUUAUUUCUGAGGGUCUUUGCGGAUCUGGUUUAAUUCGGUUCGAUUCGGACUGGAUUUUUGCGGGCCUGGUUCAGGUUUGAGUUCACAUAACCUAUUUAAAUUUUUUCUAAAAUUAAAGUUUUCAUAUACUUUAAAUUUUUUAAAAUUUUAAAAUAAAAAUAAUAUAUACCAUAUAAAUUUGAAUAAUAUAUGCCAAAAUACUUAAACUUAACAUAAAAAUUGGUUUAGUUUAAAUAUUUGGAUAAAAAAUCAAUAGAUAUUUUAAGUAUUUUAGGUAUUUUAAGUAUCGUUUAGCUAUUUAAAACAUGUACUUAUAACUAUUUGUAUAUAUUUCCAAGUAUUUUGAACAACUUAUAAACAUCUUAUAUAUUUUUUAUAUAUUUUUAGAUAUUAAGUAUUAAAAUAAUUAAUAUAUUUAAGUAUAUAAAUCUUGUUCGGAUAUAUUCGGAUAUCCGAAAUAUUUCAGAUCGGGUUUGUUAUAGUUCUCUAGAUACCAAAGUUUUGAACCCAUUCGGAUAUCUAACCAAUUUUGGUUAAAGUUCAGUACUAUUUUUUGGAUAGGCUUUGGUUCGGUUUUUUGGAUUCAAAUUUUUUUGCCCAAUCCUAUAUUUUUAUUGCUACAAAAUUUUAAACGAAAAUGAUUUUGGUUAAUAUUGAUUUUGGGUAUUAAACAAUUUUUAAACCAAAACACAUUUUACUAUGUACGUGACUCAUUUAGUUAAUCAUUAAAAAACUGUUCUAUGCCCAUUUAAAGAAAACAAUGGCCUGAACUUUAAAAAUGCUACCAUUUCAAAUUGUAAAUCGACACUUUCAAAUAUUCUAUGUCGGUGUUGUGAAGAAUAGAAAGGAGAUUAGGGUUAGGAAAUCAAAUUUGUUGUGCAAUUGAUGUUCUCGCAAAGUAAUUUCAAUAGUUUCUAAAUAAAUCUUAGUUGUAUCGAUCUCUCGUAAGAUUUUUGAACAAUAUUAAUUAAUAAAAUCUUGCACUUGCUAGAGUAAUGAAUUAUUUCUCAAUUAAUAUAUAGGAAAUUAAGGUAAUCACAUAAAUCAACAUAAUACCUCUUGUUUAUUUAUAGCUAGGUGUUUUCCUGCACCAUGUGCAGUAAGAAAUUUUUUAAAUCUAAUUUAUAUUUAAAAAUAAAAUUUAUUAAAUAUUAUAAAUUUUACUAUUUUCUUACUAAUAUUUAAUAUAGAUUUGAUAUAUAUUAAAUCAAUUUGUAUAAAACUAAUAAAAAUGAUAUAAAAUUGUAUAUUUAUCAAAAAUUUGCUAAACAAUAUUUAUAAAAUUUGUAGAUAUAUAAUAAACUAAUGAUCUUACGAUUAGAUAUUUAACUUUUUCUAAAUUGUAGAAAUUUUUGAAAGCUUUGGUAAUACAAAUUGUAUAAUUAUACAAAAUUAAUAAUAUUUCAAAAUUUGAAAUGUUAUAUAUGAAUAUAUUUAUUUGAUAGAUGAUGUAUGAGCUAUUACCCUAUUUAAAAAAAGUUUACCAAAAAGAAAUAUCAAUAUUAAAUGUAAUAUAUGAAUUAUUACCAUAUUCUAAUAAGUUUGCAAAAAAUAUAACUCAACAUUAAAUAAAAUUAUUCAUGUCAUAUUUUUUCGGAAGCCAUGUCAUCAAUUUCAGUAGCCAUGUCAUAUUUGUUUUGUAAAAUUGAUUGUAGAGAUGACAUGUGGCAAAAUCACUUCGCAAAUAUAGUCUAGGGGAUAUGUUUAUGGUAAAUAAAUCAAAAUAAUUAUUUUAUAUGUUUUAUAUGCUAUAUAAUUAUAUUCAUUGAUAGUGACAUAACUAUAUAGUAUUUUUAAUAUAAAUAUUUAUUAUUGAGAUUUCUUACUUAUAUGGUUUUAUUAACAUUUGUAUAAAACUCAAUUUGAGAUAAAAGAGAAUGAGCUGCGAGACUAGGGUUUUGGCGAGAAACGAAACUAGGGCUUUGAAUUCGGAGGAUCAGGAUGCCAUGAUGGAUGUGGGGGAGAGAUCGAGACCGCCAGGAGACCCGCCCGAUAGGGUGACCACAUGGGCAGCAAAGGCGGUGGGUACGACGGCAGGAGGUAUGCCGGUUCCAGAGGCUUUGAUUGAUGAUGUGUUUGUGUCGAGAAGGCUCAGAGUAGAUUUUCCGAAUGGAGAAGAUGGAGAACCAUCGAUCACGAUUGAGAACGAGGUACUUGAAGCAAUGAACGGGAUGUGGAAGCAGUGUAUGAUUGUUAGGGUUUUGGGAAGUAACGUCCCGAUCUCUGCCUUGAGAAAGAAGCUAAGAGAGUUAUGGAACCCUAAAGGAGGAAUGUAUGUAAUGGACCUACCCAGAAAAUUUUUUAUGCUUCGUUUCGAGAAGGAGGAUGAAUAUUUGGCGGCACUGACAGGGGGUCCAUGGAGGGCUUUUGGCAGUAAUCUCAUGGUGAGAGCUUGGUCGCCGGAGUUCGAUCCGUUAAGAGAUGACAUCGUUACGACGCCGGUUUGGAUCAGGUUGACAAAUAUUCCAGUGAACUUUUACCAUCGAUCGAUCCUCAUGGGUAUUGCCAAGGGUUUGGGUAAACCAGUUCGUGUUGACUUGACCACAUUGAAGUUUGAAAGAGCAAGGUUUGCGAGAGUUUGUGUAGAAGUUAAUCUUGCAAAGCCGUUGAAAGGGACAGUCCUAAUUAACGGAGAGAGAUACUUUGUAGCUUACGAAGGGUUAGCUGAGAUCUGUUCAAAGUGCGGAAUUUAUGGACACUUGGUUGAUGGAUGCCCAAGAACAAUUACGGAAAUAUUGGCUGAAGUAGCUAUACAGACGGAGGCACAGUCAGCUACGCGAUCACCCACUAGACAAGAACCAAUAGUGCAGGAGAAUGGUUUUACUCCGGUGAGGAGCUCAAGAAGAGGGACGCAGAUACUGCCUCGACUGGUGAACGGCAGGACUGCGGAAGCCGGCGGGGAGACAGACAGGGAUGUCCAAGAGAUCCCGCGGAAGGGGAACCGAGUGAGGAAGUGAUCUCUGGUGAGGGAGAUAAGGAGAAUCAGGAGGUAAACAUUCAGAAUGCUAGGGUAAGGGAACCUUACAAGAGAAGAAAUCCUUAGUUUUUGGUAGCAAUGGAAGUAUUAAUUUGAAUGGAGGAAAUAAAGAGAGAGGGAAUGGAAAUAAAAAAAUAAUGGAGGGAGUAAGAGGAAGGCCCAAAAAAUCGACUAACAGGUCGGUUAGAAGAUUGGUUUUUGGGCCGACUAAGGGAGAGACUAACCUGUCGACAUCAGGAAAAUGACUGAGAGUGGAGAAUAUGUAUGCAGGGAGACCUGGUGGAGUUUUCAGAGAUAGUGUGGAGGUCAGGGUUAUGCCUAAGCUUCUUCAGCUGCGAGAUGAGGGGUUAGAAAAUCCGAUGGAGAUCAUUAGAAGUGAGACAGAGAAGAAAAUGGUGGAAGAACCGACGACGGUGCAGGUGGAGGAGGUAGUGGGAUCCCUAGCAUAACAGGGUGCCCCGAGAAUUCAAUCGGAGAUUUUUAUAAUUAUGAUGAUGAAUUGUUUAUUCUGGAAUUGCCGGGGAGCAAAUAAACCUAAUUUCAGACGGUCUAUUAGGUAUAUUCUGAAGAAAUAUCAAACUGAUUUUCUGGCAUUGUUCGAAACUCAUGCGAGUGGAGAUAAAGCAAUGAAGAUUUGCCACAACCUGGGGUUUGACAACUCUUUUCGUGUAGAUGCUAUUGGUCAAAGUGGUGGAAUUUGGAUUUUAUGGAGAGAUCAAGCGGGAGUGAUUACGGUGUUGGAAUCAUCGGAUCAGUUUGUGCAUGCGAGGGUGAUGAUUGGGACUGAGAUUAUACAUAUUAUUGCGGUCUAUGCGGCUCCUACGGUUAGUCGAAGGAGUGGUCUCUCGGGACAGUUGAAGCGGGUGUUAGAGAAUAUUGAUGAACCGGUUAUAGUGGGUGGUGAUUUCAACACCAUUUUAAGAUUGGAUGAGUGAUCUGGAGGGAAUGGUAGACUUUCACCAGACUCUAUGGCGUUUGGGGAUUGGAUUAAUGAUUUAGCUCUGGUGGAUAUGGGAUUCAGAGGAAAUACCUUUACUUGGAGGAGAGGUAAAGAUACACAGCACUUUGUGGCGAAGCGACUUGAUAGAGUUUUGUGUAGUGCGCAGACUCGCGUGAGAUGGCAGGAGGCAGUAGUCACUCAUCUUCCUUUUUAGCUUCAGAUCAUGCACCAAUGUAUGUACAAAUGGAGCCGGAGCGGAAAGGAGAUCCGAAAAGGAGACCGUUUAGAUUCAAAGCUGCGUGGCUUAAGCAUGAUGGUUUCAAGGAGCAACUAUCAACAUCUUGGAACAGUGAGAUGAGUACUCCAGAGGCACUGGUGUCUUUGAAGGAGAAACUUAAGAAAUGGAAUAAAAAGAUAUUUGGAGAUGUGAUCAAACGAAAAGAGAAACUGCUCGGGGAUAUAAAAGAAGUUCAGGAGGAACUGGAGAGAAACCCAUCAGAUGGUCUGUUGGCAAGGGAGGAGACAUUACAAAAAGAGUUUGAUGUUGUCCUUGAACAGGAGGAGGUGCUCUGGUACCAAAAAUCACGAGAGAAAUGGAUAGUGCUUGGAGAUAGAAACACGACGUACUAUCACACGAGUACCAUUGUGAGAAGAAAGAGGAAUAGAAUAGAGAUGCUGAAGAGUGAAGAUGGCCACUGGAUUGACCAGUCAGAACAGUUGGAGCAACUAGCAAUGAACUACUAUAAGAGACUGUAUUCAACUGAGGAUAUAUCUCUCGAUAUUCGUGUAGAUGCUAUUGGUCAAAGUGGUGGAAUUUGGAUUUUAUGGAGAGAUCAAGCGGGAGUGAUUACGGUGUUGGAAUCAUCGGAUCAGUUUGUGCAUGCGAGGGUGAUGAUUGGGACUGAGAUUAUACAUAUUAUUGCGGUCUAUGCGGCUCCUACGGUUAGUCGAAGGAGUGGUCUCUCGGGACAGUUGAAGCGGGUGUUAGAGAAUAUUGAUGAACCGGUUAUAGUGGGUGGUGAUUUCAACACCAUUUUAAGAUUGGAUGAGUGAUCUGGAGGGAAUGGUAGACUUUCACCAGACUCUAUGGCGUUUGGGGAUUGGAUUAAUGAUUUAGCUCUGGUGGAUAUGGGAUUCAGAGGAAAUACCUUUACUUGGAGGAGAGGUAAAGAUACACAGCACUUUGUGGCGAAGCGACUUGAUAGAGUUUUGUGUAGUGCGCAGACUCACGUGAGAUGGCAGGAGGCAGUAGUCACUCAUCUUCCUUUUUAGCUUCAGAUCAUGCACCAAUGUAUGUACAAAUGGAGCCGGAGCGGAAAGGAGAUCCGAAAAGGAGACCGUUUAGAUUCAAAGCUGCGUGGCUUAAGCAUGAUGGUUUCAAGGAGCAUUCACCUAAAUCUCCCUAAACUUAAUAUGAGCCAAAUUUAACUAAAACAAAAAUCGUUUCGUGAACACAUUUAAUCAUUUAAUUAGGUUUUAUUUUCUGUGGGGUCAAAAGAGAAAAUUCAGUGGCUAAAUUUUCAAAAAUCAUAUCAUUUUCAUGUAAAAUUUUACAAUAAAUGUGUAAUAGAAAAUUUGCGAAUAUCGUUCUAUAUAAAUUAAUGUCUAAGAGAUUUUUAUAUUAGUCCCCAAGCUAGAUAAGUGCGGGUUUAUAAUCAAUUCAAAUGGAACUCUGAAGAUGUUUUACGAACAAGUUUCUGAUAAGAACUUCGGGUAUGAACAAUUGAAAUUUGGCAGAUUGUACUUGUGUCAGAUGCUCAUCACUUGCAAAAAAAUAAAGAAGAGGAGAAUGUACAACUUGUCUCACAGAAGAAAUGUAAACAGGGUAUGAAAAAUAGACUUAGGCUGAAUCAGUUUCCUCGAAGAAGUUUUUGAACUCAAGAAGCCUUGACGAUUGCCUUCCUGCUUUCCCUUCACCACCAAAUGAAAACACACACAUGACCAAAGAUUUCAGCUGUAUGAAAGGAAGCAUGAGAGUUAAGGAGCAAGGUGAAUAAGGUAAUGUACCUUUGCAGCGUCUUUGAGAGGUCCCCAACACUCAAUCCGAUUGUAUUUAGGUGUGCUUGAAUGGAAAUAAACCCAUACAUAAGCAUCCAUUAGCUCAGGGUUCUCUCUAAACAUGACUGAAUCUCCAUAGAUCACAGCUUUUAGCCCCUAUGAACCACAAUGCCAAAGAGUUUACGACAACUCAUUUCUGCAUUUCUUUUGUACCAAUUAGACCAAAAAAAAAAAAAAAAGAAGGAAGAAAACUAACCAAAGGCAGUUCCUUGGAGAAUAUGUGAUACCUAAGCUCUGCAGCCAUAUCCUGCAAUAAACUAAGCCCACUAACACAACAAUGAAUAUGUAACCGCAACUCGUCAUUCACCUUCUUCCACUCAGCAACCACAUCGUCUUUCUUGUACCAGCCUUCUAGUUGAUCCAGGUUGAUGACGUUUGAGAUGGUUAAGGUCAAGUUAGCGGUGAAGUCACAGUGUGAAAGAAUAUAUGUGCGUGGUGUUAUAAUCCCUCCGCUAGCUUUAGCCUCCAAUAUCUCCCCUAAGAACUCCACUUUGAGCUUUGAGGAAUCAAAGUUUGCUUGUGGAACUAAAAGCCU
rnacentral:lncRNA from 1 species